UACGAAGGGUGCAAGCGUUAAUCGGAAUUACUGGGCGUAAAGCGCGCGUAGGUGGUUCAGUAAGUUGGAAGUGAAAUCCCCGGGCUCAACCUGGGAACUGCUUUCAAAACUGCUGAGCUAGAGUACGGUAGAGGGUGGUGGAAUUUCCUGUGUAGCGGUGAAAUGCGUAGAUCUAGGAAGGAACACCAGUGGCGAAGGCGAACACCUGGACUGAUACUGACAC
rnacentral:rRNA from 1 species